rnacentral:rRNA from 1 species
AACUUGGAGAUAGCUGGUUCUCUUCGAAAUAGCUUUAGGGCUAGCCUCAGGUGUUUCGUAACGGGGGUAGAGCUACUGUUCAGGCUAGGGGGGUGCAUAACCUACCCUACCCAGACAAACUCCGAAUACCGUUAUUGAUAACCUGGGAGUCAGACUACGAGGGAUAAGCUUCGUGGUCGAGAGGGAAACAGCCCAGAUUGGCAGUUAAGGCCCCUAAUUCAUGCUCAGUGUAUGUAAGGAGGUGGGG